CUGCUGCCUCCCGUAGGAGUCUGGUCCGUGUCUCAGUACCAGUGUGGGGGACCUUCCUCUCAGAACCCCUAGACAUCGUCGCCUUGGUGGGCCGUUACCCCGCCAACAAGCUAAUGGAACGCAUCCCCAUCGAUGACCGAAAUUCUUUAAUAGUUCUACCAUGCGGAAGAACUAUGCCAUCGGGUAUUAAUCUUUCUUUCGAAAGGCUAUCCCCGAGUCAUCGGCAGGGUGGAUACGUGUUACUCACCCGUGCGCCGGUCGCCA
rnacentral:rRNA from 1 species